CUACCAUAUCCAAGAUGUAAUUUUCUAAUAGUAUACCUAUAGUUGGUAUGACCAAACUUGCCACAAUAGUGACAAUGACCAUUGAACUUUCUUAUUCUAGGUCCAUAGGUGAGUGAGUGUGUUUGAGUUCUCAUGUGGCCAUUUCUCCCUUGUUUAUUAAAAGCAUGUGAGCAAGAGAUAUGAUGAGAGUGGUGAUUGCGUGAACUAGAAGUGUGUGUUCCAUAAUGAUCAUUUCUUUUAUAUGCAAAUUGCCUAGGUUUGUGUCUUAUAUGAGUAUUGUACCUAGUGGAUUUGUGUACAUGUGCAUUCCUUAUAGACAUAUUACUACUAGAAACUUUAGGUAUGUUUUCAUUAGAGCUAGAUACCUUAGGUUCUUUUAAAUUAGUAGCUUUAACAAAAACAGUUUUAGAAGAGUUUGCUUGAGUUGAUUUAUCAUAGCCAAGGCCAUACUUGAUGCUAGGAGACCUUUGAGAGUCUAAUAUUUCAUCAAGUUUGUCCUUGCCUUUUAAAAACUUUGAAAGAGAAUUUUUCAACUCAAGAAUUUCAUUUUUCAAAUUUUUAUUUUCUAAUGAGAGCUCUUCUAAGGAUUUUUGUAAAUGAUCACUUGAGG
rnacentral:lncRNA from 1 species